CCACUGCAGUUGCAGUGGAUUCCUACAAUCCCUCAAAAAUGGGGAUGAAGUCGUAAAUGAAAAGAGAGGAAACUCCAGUUGGUGACGAUCAUAAGAUUCCAGCCUGGCCAGUCAGAGAGGGCCUCCCAGCCAGAGGAAUCCUAAGGAGAGCCACUGCCUUCCACAUCGACUUCAAUGAAUGCAGGCAUCAAGGGGCCAAAUGGAGAAGUCAGUGGGAAAGUGGUGCAGUAUCCAAACCCAUUUGGUCUAUCAGAUUCAUUUAAGGGCAGGAUAAAUCUCCAGAAAAGGUGAUAAUAUCCUGGACAACAUUGAAAAACUUUAGAGGAAACAAGUAUCUAACAGGCGAACACUUCACCAAUUCCUCCUGGGCUGUUGUCAGCCUCUUGUGAAAUUCUGCUUUCUGUGUGUCUUCACAUGCCAGCAGAGAUCCUCAGGGUGAAAUCCCAUCCCUUCCUCUGACCAAGAUCCUGUACUGUCUUCUGAAAAAAUUCUCAGCAAUAUAAAAUGAGCAGAUAACUCCUAUACAUCCGUGAUCUCGCCACAAGCUGUCAUGACCAUUUCAGCUGCACAAUCACAACAAAAAGUUUGCUCUUUUUACUUAUUUUAAAUCCUAAAAUCUUUCAUGUAGAGCUGAUUAGUCAGAGAGUGAAAUGAUUCCACUCAA